rnacentral:rRNA from 1 species
CCUACGGGGCGCUGCAGUGGGGAAUAUUGCACAAUGGGGGAAAUCCUGAUGCAGCGACGCCGCGUGAGGGAAGAAGUCUUUCGGUAUGUAAAGCUCUAUCAGCAGGGGAGAAAAUGACGGUCCCUGAUUAAGAAGCCCCGGAUAACUACGAUCCAGCAGCCGCGGUAAUACGUAGGGGGAAAGCGUUAUCCGGAUGUACUGGGUGUAAAGGGGGCGUAGAUGGCAGUACAAGUCUGUAGUGAAAUGCCGGGGCUUAACCCCGGAACUGCUUUGGAAACUGUGCAGCUAGAGUGCAGGAGAGGUAAGUGGAAUUCCUAGUGUAGCGGUGAAAUGCGUAGAUAUUAGGAGGAACACCAGUGGCGAAGGCGGCUUACUGGACUGUAACUGACGUUGAGGCUCGAAAGCGUGGGGAGCAAACAGGAUUAGAUACCCUUGUAGUC